rnacentral:rRNA from 1 species
AUGAAUAAGUUCAGAAGAACACUCGAAUUGGAUGCUAUCUGUAACAUAUGCGGCUGUAGUGAGGAGGAUGAGUUUCAUGAUGUAGUAGAGUGCACAAAAAGUAGAGCUUUGAGAGCAGCCCUUAGAGAAAAUUGGGAUCUCCGCCCUGAUCACACAUUUUGCUGAACUAGCCCUGACUGGCUUCAGUUGCUAUUGUGUCCGGAAUCUGAGGAAAUAAGAGCCAGGAUUCUCAGGAUGCUCUGGAGGUGCUGGCAUCUAGGUGAUGAUAUUGUGCAUGGGAAUGGAAAGGAGCCUGUUAAAAAAAUAUGUUCUUUUCCUGCUGUAGUACGAGGAAGAGAUGGAGAAGGCUCCCUUGUCGCCAGAUGGUGGGAAGAACCCAUGGCAUGCUGCUACUAA